rnacentral:rRNA from 1 species
UACGGGGGGAGCAAGCGUUGUUCGGAUUUACUGGGCGUAAAGGGCGCGUAGGCGGCCACCGCAAGUCAAUUGUGAAAUCUCCGGGCUUAACUCGGAAAGGUCAACUGAUACUGCGGGGCUAGAGUGCGGAAGGGGCAACUGGAAUUCUCGGUGUAGCGGUGAAAUGCGUAGAUAUCGAGAGGAACACCUGCGGCGAAGGCGGGUUGCUGGGCCGGUACUGACGCUGAGACGCGAAAGCGUGGGGAGCGAACAGG